UCGGAUUAGCUAGUUGGUGAGGUAAUGGCUCACCAAGGCGACGAUCCGUAACUGGUCUGAGAGGAUGAUCAGUCACACUGGAACUGAGACACGGUCCAGACUCCUACGGGAGGCAGCAGUGGGGAAUAUUGGACAAUGGGCGAAAGCCUGAUCCAGCCAUGCCGCGUGUGUGAAGAAGGUCUUCGGAUUGUAAAGCACUUUAAGUUGGGAGGAAGGGCAGUCAGCGAAUACCUUGCUGUCUUGACGUUACCGACAGAAUAAGCACCGGCUAACUCUGUGCCAGCAGCCGCGGUAAUACAGAGGGUGCAAGCGUUAAUCGGAAUUACUGGGCGUAAAGCGCGCGUAGGUGGUUUGUUAAGUUGAAUGUGAAAUCCCCGGGCUCAACCUGGGAACUGCAUCCAAAACUGGCAAGCUA
rnacentral:rRNA from 3 species